rnacentral:rRNA from 1 species
GGGACACGUGGUAUCCUGUCUGAAUAUGGGGGGACCAUCCUCCAAGGCUAAAUACUCCUGACUGACCGAUAGUGAACCAGUACCGUGAGGGAAAGGCGAAAAGAACCCCGGCGAGGGGAGUGAAAAAGAACCUGAAACCGUGUACGUACAAGCAGUGGGAGCACGCUUAGGCGUGUGACUGCGUACCUUUUGUAUAAUGGGUCAGCGACUUAUAUUCUGUAGCAAGGUUAACCGAAUAGGGGAGCCGAAGGGAAACCGAGUCUUAACUGGGCGUUAAGUUGCAGGGUAUAGACCCGAAACCCGGUGAUCUAGCCAUGGGCAGGUUGAAGGUUGGGUAACACUAACUGGAGGACCGAACCGACUAAUGUUGAAAAAUUAGCGGAUGACUUGUGGCUGGGGGUGAAAGGCCAAUCAAACCGGGAGAUAGCUGGUUCUCCCCGAAAGCUAUUUAGGUAGCGCCUCGUGAAUUCAUCUCCGGGGGUAGAGCACUGUUUCGGCAAGGGGGUCAUCCCGACUUACCAACCCGAUGCAAACUGCGAAUACCGGAGAAUGUUAUCACGGGAGACACACGGCGGGUGCUAACGUCCGUCGUGAAGAGGGAAACAACCCAGACCGCCAGCUAAGGUCCCAAAGUCAUGGUUAAGUGGGAAACGAUGUGGGAAGGCCCAGACAGCCAGGAUGUUGGCUUAGAAGCAGCCAUCAUUUAAAGAAAGCGUAAUAGCUCACUGGUCGAGUCGGCCUGCGCGGAAGAUGUAACGGGGCUAAACCAUGCACCGAAGCUGCGGCAGCGACGCUUAUGCGUUGUUGGGUAGGGGAGCGUUCUGUAAGCCUGUGAAGGUGUGCUGUGAGGCAUGCUGGAGGUAUCAGAAGUGCG